rnacentral:rRNA from 1 species
GUCUACGAUCACACUACGUUGAAUGCACCGCAUCCCGUCAGAUCUGCGAAGUAAAGUAACGUUAGGCCGAGUAAGUACCAUGGUUGGAGACAACAUGGAAACCCUCGGUGUCGUAGGCA